AUAAUAUUGAGAAUGCUCAUUGAAUGAGCAAUUCAAUAAGAGAGCUCGGAUCGAAUCGGUA
rnacentral:tRNA from 1 species